AUUGAACGCUGGCGGCAUGCCUUACACAUGCAAGUCGAACGGUAACAGGUCUUCGGAUGCUGACGAGUGGCGAACGGGUGAGUAAUACAUCGGAACGUGCCUAGUAGUGGGGGAUAACUACUCGAAAGAGUGGCUAAUACCGCAUGAGAUCUACGGAUGAAAGCAGGGGAUCGCAAGACCUUGUGCUACUAGAGCGGCCGAUGUCAGAUUAGGAAGUUGGUGGGAUAAAAGCUUACCAAGCCGACGAUCUGUAGCUGGUCUGAGAGGACGAUCAGCCACAGAGGGACUGAGAAACGGCCUAGAAUCCUACGGGAAGCGGAAGUGGGGAAAUGUGUACAAUGGGCGAAAAACAGAUCAAGCAAUGACGUGUACAGGAAAGAGGUAUUAGGGAUGUAAACUGCUGAUGUACGGAACGAAAAGCCCCGGGUUAAAACCCUGGGGUAAUGACGGUACCGUAAGGAUAUGCACCGGCUAACUACGUGCCAGCCGCCGCCGUAA
rnacentral:rRNA from 1 species